GGGCAUGUGGUGUAAUGGGAGCAUGCGGGUACUGAUUAAGGGGGCAUCCCGCGAUGUCGGUUCGACCCCGACCGUGUCCA